rnacentral:rRNA from 1 species
UACGGAGGAUCCGAGCGUUAUCCGGAUUUAUUGGGUUUAAAGGGAGCGUAGGCGGGUUGUUAAGUCAGUUGUGAAAGUUUGCGGCUCAACCGUAAAAUUGCAGUUGAUACUGGCAUCCUUGAGUACAGUAGAGGUAGGCGGAAUUCGUGGUGUAGCGGUGAAAUGCUUAGAUAUCACGAAGAACUCCGAUUGCGAAGGCAGCCUGCUGGACUGUAACUGACGCUGAUGCUCGAAAGUGUGGCUAUCAAACAGG